rnacentral:rRNA from 1 species
UACAGAGGGGGCAAGCGUUGUUCGGAAUUACUGGGCGUAAAGGGCGCGUAGGCGGCCCGCUAAGUCGAACGUGAAAUCCCCGAGCUCAACUCGGGAGCUGCGUCCGAUACUGGUGGGCUUGAAUCCGGGAGAGGGAUGCGGAAUUCCAGGUGUAGCGGUGAAAUGCGUAGAUAUCUGGAGGAACACCGGUGGCGAAGGCGGCAUCCUGGACCGGCAUUGACGCUGAGGCGCGAAAGCUAGGGGAGCAAACGGGG